rnacentral:misc_RNA from 1 species
CGCAUCUGAAUGAUCGGCAGAGCCGUAGGUCAGAACAGCGCCAUUGCACGCAUCGACAGCAAGCCCUAUAGAUUACUCCACGGAAAGACAAGGGCCCGUCAGAGACGGAGCAUACACGGGCCACCACACACACACACACACGCACACGCACAAACAAAAAAAAGAAACGGCUUGCUGAUCGAUACGCAGCCGGCGUGGUGCGUUCGUCUUCCCAUCGGAAAGCCUCGAGUGCGCCUCACAACUCGCAUACAUUACACCCUCGCUUAAAGAUAAAGGAUAAACCAGAGACGGGGUGGGUGCCGCGUGUUCUCGCGCGCCGUAGAUCUUGCGGUGAGCUUCCUAUAAUGAUCCGCAAGAUCAGCUCACACAAGACGCAUCCAGGCACAAAGACACAGCUCAUCGACCCUCCUUCCCCCGUUUCCCUCUCAUAGCCACUGCACAUUGAAGCUUCGAAUGGAGUACAAGGGCAACGCCCUCUCGCCAGUGGAUGCGGAGAUCAGCAUCCGGCAACUGCGCUCCUUCUCUAUGGAGGAGGUCGGUACGUCUUCCUGGAAGGAUCAGCGUGAGGCGAUUGAGCGGCUGAAUAUGUGCACGCACAGCAACGCCAUGCAGAAGACGGACGACUUUGUGAAGUCGUUCCUUCUGGAGCACGACAAGCUUGGCGACGUCCUGCACGAGUUGCUUCUGAUGGAGGUGUGGAGGCAGCGAGUGCUUCCAGGCGUUGUCGAAGCCGUCACGCACAACCCGACGGCGACUUACAUGUACUGUUCCUACGAAUCAGUGCUCGUGAACCUGCUGGAGUGUAUUUGCUUCUACGAGGAGGUGGUGGCUGGUUUCGGCGAUGAUGUGCUGGAGCUGAUUGACUACUGCUGGCGCCAGGUGGUUCGUCUCUUCUCCGAGAAGAGCAUUGGCGAGGUGCCGAUUGCGGCGGCGAAGGAGAGCCCGCUUGCGUACCUGGAGCAGCAGCUGAGGGAGCAGCGCAUUCAGCGCGCCAUGGGGUGCAUCUCUUUGCUGUGGUUCGUCACGGAUCGACUGGAGGCGCUGCCUCUGUCGGCCAUGAACAGCAUCUUGCGUAAAAACGAUAUCCCUUUCGGCUUGGCAGAGGUGCUGCUACUCCAGCCGUGGCUGCGCCGCUCAGCCGGCGUGGUGCAGAAGUUCCACAAAGGGGCUUUCGUUGUCGCGCCAGGGAACGAGUCGGAGCGGGUAUGCGUGCCGGAGGCGCAUGCGUGGUUCUGCAUGCACAAACUUCUGUGCGAUGCCGAGUGUCGCAGGCAGUAUCAGUACACACAGAACAAGAAGGCCACGCUGCUGCGCGUUCGCUCUCUGCUGAAUGAGACACUGCUGGAUCAACUGCCCGCGCUGCAAGAUGUGCAGCGCGCGCUCGAGGAGCUGUCGUUCAUGGAGCCGCCGACCGGCACCGAAGAAAAGUUCCGUAGCACCCUGGUCAUAGAGCAGGUGCCUCGGCUAAUGUCGGCCAUUGACCUACCCAGUGCGGAUUGGGCCGCGCAGGUGGAAAGGAUGAAGCGACUGCUCUCUGACCGUAGCGAGGCAGUCAGUGACGCCGUGCGCAUGUCUCAACUGUUUGACCUCAUGUUUGCCGAUCACCAUUGAGCUUCAUGUGCGUGGGUAUAGGUGUGCGCACGUGCACAACAGAAAACGAAGAAAAAAGGGGCGAGAGUUGGAGGGCGUUGCGGUCUCCUGGACCUCCCCAACGCUUUCCUGUUGCGUAAGAGAGGGCGACUGUUGUCUUGCGGAAUGAUGUAUAGACCUUUUUGUGUGUCGUCGUACGUAAAGCGAAACCGUACUGAAGAGGGAAAAGCUGCUUGUGUGCAAUGCUGGUCAUCGAAGACGAUU